GAUACCAGGAUGCAAAAGUCAAAAGCCUGACGCAAGCUUGCUUGCGAGAUGGCUUAUGACUUUGGAGUCCGCCCCACAAAUGAGGAAGGAGCGAUUUACAUCGUAAAUCUGCGGAUUCCGAAUGCGGGGGAGAAUUGCGGGAGCAGCUUAUGCUGCGGAGUAGU
rnacentral:sRNA from 1 species